UUGCUUUUUUGAGACCGGCGCACGGGUGAGUAACGCGUAUGCAACCUACCUUAUACAGGGGAAUAGCCCGAAGAAAUUCGGAUUAAUGCUCCAUGGUUUAUCGAUAUGGCAUCGUAUUGAUAAUAAAGAUUUAUCGGUAUAAGAUGGGCAUGCGUAUCAUUAGCUAGUUGGUGUGGUAACGGCAUACCAAGGCAACGAUGAUUAGGGGUCCUGAGAGGGAGAUCCCCCACACUGGUACUGAGACACGGACCAGACUCCUACGGGAGGCAGCAGUGAGGAAUAUUGGUCAAUGGAGGCAACUCUGAACCAGCCAUGCCGCGUGCAGGAUGACGGUCCUAUGGAUUGUAAACUGCUUUUGUACAGGAAGAAACCUCCCUACGAGUAGGGACUUGACGGUACUGUAAGAAUAAGGAUCGGCUAACUCCGUGCCAGCAGCCGCGGUAAUACGGAGGAUCCGAGCGUUAUCCGGAAUUAUUGGGUUUAAAGGGUUCGUAGGCGGUUUUGUAAGUCAGUGGUGAAAUUUCCUAGCUUAACUAAGACACUGCCAUUGAUACUGUACUUGAAUAAUAUGGAAGUAACUAGAAUAUGUAGUGUAGCGGUGAAAUGCUUAGAUAUUACAUGGAAUACCAAUUGCGAAGGCAGGUUACUACGUAUUUAUUGACGCUGAUGAACGAAAGCGUGGGGAGCGAACAGGAUUAGAUACCCUGGUAGUCCACGCCGUAAACGAUGGAUACUAGCUGUUCGGUUUUCGGUCUGAGUGGCUAAGCGAAAGUGAUAAGUAUCCCACCUGGGGAGUACGUUCGCAAGAAUGAAACUCAAAGGAAUUGACGGGGGCCCGCACAAGCGGUGGAGCAUGUGGUUUAAUUCGAUGAUACGCGAGGAACCUUACCAGGGCUUAAAUGUAGAUUGACAGAUUUGGAAACAGAUUUUUCUUCGGACAAUUUACAAGGUGCUGCAUGGUUGUCGUCAGCUCGUGCCGUGAGGUGUCAGGUUAAGUCCUAUAACGAGCGCAACCCCUAUUGUUAGUUACCAGCGCGUAGUGGCGGGGACUCUAGCAAGACUGCCGGUGCAAACCGUGAGGAAGGUGGGGAUGACGUCAAAUCAUCACGGCCCUUACGUCCUGGGCUACACACGUGCUACAAUGGCAAGUACAGAAAGCAGCUACCUGGCAACAGGAUGCGAAUCUCCAAAGCUUGUCUCAGUUCGGAUUGGAGUCUGCAACUCGACUCUAUGAAGCUGGAAUCGCUAGUAAUCGGAUAUCAGCCAUGAUCCGGUGAAUACGUUCCCGGGCCUUGUACACACCGCCCGUCAAGCCAUGGAAGCUGGGGGUACCUGAA
rnacentral:rRNA from 1 species